rnacentral:rRNA from 1 species
UACGGAGGAUGCGAGCGUUAUCCGGAUUUAUUGGGUUUAAAGGGUGCGUAGGCGGACUGUCAAGUCAGCGGUAAAAUUGAGAGGCUCAACCUCUUCCCGCCGUUGAAACUAGUGGUCUUGAGUGGAUGAGAAGUACGCGGAAUGCGUGGUGUAGCGGUGAAAUGCAUAGAUAUCACGCAGAACUCCGAUUGCGAAGGCAGCGUACCGGCAUCCAACUGACGCUGAGGCACGAAAGCGUGGGGAUCAAACAGG